rnacentral:rRNA from 1 species
UACGUAGGGUGCGAGCGUUGUCCGGAAUUAUUGGGCGUAAAGAGCUCGUAGGCGGCUUGUCACGUCGGGUGUGAAAGACCGGGGCUUAACCCCGGUUCUGCAUUCGAUACGGGCUAGCUAGAGUGUGGUAGGGGAGAUCGGAAUUCCUGGUGUAGCGGUGAAAUGCGCAGAUAUCAGGAGGAACACCGGUGGCGAAGGCGGAUCUCUGGGCCAUUACUGACGCUGAGGAGCGAAAGCGUGGGGAGCAAACAGG